UACGAAGGUGGCAAGCGUUACUCGGAAUUACUAGGCGUAAAGGGCAGGCAGGUGGUUUGGUAAGUCUGUUGUGAAAUCUCCCGGCUUAACUGGGAGAGGUCAACAGAAACUGCCAGGCUUGAGUAUAGGAGAGGGUACUGGAAUUCCCGGUGUAGCGGUGAAAUGCGCAGAGAUCGGGAGGAACACCAAUGGCGAAAGCAGGUACCUGGACUAUUACUGACACUCAGCUGCGAAAGCUAGGGGAGCAAACAGG
rnacentral:rRNA from 1 species